rnacentral:rRNA from 1 species
CUGGCUCAGGAUGAACGCUAGCUACAGGCUUAACACAUGCAAGUCGAGGGGCAGCGGGAAGUCAGCUGCUGACUUGCCGGCGACCGGCGCACGGGUGAGUAACGCGUAUCCAACCUUCCCCUUAGUAGGGCAUAGCCCGUAGAAAUGCGGAUUAAUACCCUAUGUUAUUCGUCGAGGACAUCUGAAGUGAAUCAAAGGUUUACCGCUAAGGGAUGGGGAUGCGUCUGAUUAGGCAGCGGGCGGGGUAACGGCCCACCUGGCCUACGAUCAGUAGGGGUUCUGAGAGGAAGGUCCCCCACAUUGGAACUGAGACACGGUCCAAACUCCUACGGGAGGCAGCAGUGAGGAAUAUUGGUCAAUGGGCGCGAGCCUGAACCAGCCAAGUAAGCGUGCAGGACGACGGCCCUAUGGGUUGUAAACUGCUUUUAUGCGGGGAUAAAGUGACGUACGUGUACGUUUUUGUAGGUACCGCAUGAAUAAGGACCGGCUAAUUCCGUGCCAGCCGCUGC